ACUUUCGCCAACUCAAUGGACUUACCCGUCAGAGUGCCUAUGUUCCACAACCCAAUCCUUAAUCUAUGAGCAUCCGCUACCCUCUUCCUACCCUUGCCUCCCGCCCUACCCGCAGAACCACUCCCUGCCCCCUACUCCCCCCCGCCACCGCCUCCACCCCCCGAGGAUAUGACCUUACAUUAUCAUCCCCCGCCGCGGCCACUAUCCCUCCAACGGACUAUGGAGAAUAGUGACGCACACACGCACUAUAGCAGAAUACACAAAAAGAGGCAGACUAGAUAGCACCAGAGUAAACCUCACACGGAAUGCUAGGUAAAAUACGUAAAAUGGUGUACAAAGUAAACAAGAGAGCGGGAGGUACCAACUCCCGGUGGAAAAACCUGAAAGUAGUCUUUGAUGCGCCCAAGAUCAACUGCUACCGACUCUUGCACGUCCCCGCCGGUGUUGCUUAGAUCUUCACUCCCAAAUAACGCGAACUGGCUUCGCCACCGCGACUAUUACCUGGGGUAAGUUUUCCUGAAGCUUAUCGGAACGUGUAGUUCUGUUGCUUCCUGCCAAAAGUCUGAACGGGAGUCGCCGGAAGUACUGUAGCUUGACGGAAAUCCUCGCCGGAAAAAUAAGGCACCUGUCCAGAAAAGAAAAAAACAGAACACACCCACACACACCCACAAAAAGCAGAAGAGAGAAUAGAAAGAAAAGAGCAGGAAUUGCCGGAAAAAUCGCCGGCGAAAAGCAAAAAUUCGUCCAGAAAAGAAAAAAAAACAGAACACACUCACACACACCCACAAAAAGCAAAAGAGAGAAUAGAAAAAAAAGAGCAGAAGUCGCCGGAAAAACCGCCGACGAAAAGCAAAAAUUCAAAAAAAAACCUGAUUGGGGAAUUGCAGAUCUGUGAGGAGAUUGUAGUGCCUCUACUGAUCUUUGAUGGUGACGAGAGUAGAGAGAGGAAGAUCGAUAAAGAAAGCGAAAAAGGGACUGAUGAGAGAUUUUAAACCCAAACUCCAAAAGCCCAAAGUAUUAUUGCUUGCCCCGAACUCGAAGUCUCGUCACUGUGGCGAUUGGGAAGGAGACGCAAACUGAUGAGAGCUCUUGCACAAUACCCAAAUUUUUUUAAUAAGUGAAUUGCACAAGACCCAGAAACUAUUUUGUCCAAAAGAUACUGAUUUUUUUGUCUAAAAAAUUCGACUAAAUGCAUAAAACCCAGAAAUUAUUUUGCACAAAAGUUUGAUAUUCAAUUAAAUGGACAGAAUCCAGAAAUUAUUUUAUCCCAAAAGUGAACAAAAACUGCCAAAUUUGCACUGUAAAUGGAAUUGCAGUUUCUUGGUAUGCCUGAAAACGACGGCGUUUUUGGAAGCCGCAGGAGAUGGAAGUGGAAGCGAGGUGAAAUCCACUGAGAAGGUGAGGAACAGAGAUCCUUUAAACAAGUAGUUUUCGAGUAAUUUCUAAAUAUAAAAGAAUUCACACUGCGAUCAAGAAAUGAAGAGCAUAAAAAAACCCUAAAGUUGAGAAAAAAUGUAUACAGAUAUGAGAGAGAAGGUAAGCUUUUACCAGAUUAAGACAGAAGAAACAAGUAGAAGACGUCGCCGGAGAAAGGGAUGGAGCGGAGCAGAUAAUAUGUACCAUAAAUUUACAAUAGUACAAAAAAAUAUCACGUCCUACAAUCAUGAUGGUUUUCUU
rnacentral:lncRNA from 1 species